rnacentral:misc_RNA from 1 species
AAGGUUGCAGAGGAGAAGCUUGGUCCCCAAUUUGAGAUACUGAGUGCUGUUAAGUACUGAGUUGUAGGAACUUUAGUUUCUCACAAUUUUGUUCAGGUUUAUCUCUUAAUGGACAUUUUUUUUAUGGUUUUACUUCUAAUGCAAGAAGCUAGAAAUGGGAUUACUAGGGGAACUUAUGUGGUUAUCUAGCGUGCCUACUUAUGAUGCUACAGAAUUCAGGUUUAUCUCUUUGAAUGAUUUGGAUGUUGGACAUGCUGUAUUUGCCAAUGUAUUUUGGUGCUACAGUUUCUUUAUUCAAGGUUAAGAGCGUGUUUAAUUGCCGUUCAAUACGG